rnacentral:rRNA from 1 species
GAGUUUGAUCCUGGCUCAGGACAAACGCUGGCGGCGUGCCUAACACAUGCAAGUCGAACGCUCGCUUCUCUUACGGGAGGAGCGGGAGUGGCGGACGGGUGAGGAACACGUGGAUAACCUUCCCUCCAGUGAGGGAUACCGGCGAGAAAUCGCCGACAAUACCGCAUAGGCUCCUUUUUGUGAAGAGGGGGAGCAAAGCCGGAAGGCGCUGGAGGAUGGGUCUGCGUCCGAUUAGCUAGCUGGUGGGGUAAAGGCUCACCAGGGCGACGAUCGGUAGCUGGUCUGAGAGGAUGAUCAGCCACACUGGGAUUGAGAACGGCCCAGACUCCUACGGGGGGCAGCAGUGAGGAAUCUUCGGCAAUGGGCGCAAGCCUGACCGAGCAACGCCGCGUGCAGGAAGACGGCCUUCGGGUUGUAAACUGCUUUUCUCUGGGACGAGCGAGGACGGUAC